rnacentral:rRNA from 1 species
GACGAACGCUGGCGGCGUGCCUAAUACAUGCAAGUAGAACGCAGUGGCGAACGGGUGAGUAAAGCGUAGGUAACUGCCUCAUUGCGGGGGAUAACUAUUGGAAACGAUAGCUAAUACCCCGUACUGUGAGAUGGACCUGCGUUUUAGUAGCUAGUUGGUGAGGUAAAGGCUCACGAAGGCGACGAUCAAUAGCCGGCCUGAGAGGGUGAUCGGCCACACUGGGACUGAGACACGGCCCAGACUCCUACGGGAGGCAGCAGUGGGGAAUCUUCGGCAAUGGACGGAAGUCUGACGGAGCAACGCCGCGGGAGUGAAGAAGGUUUUCGGGUUGUAAAGCUCUGUUGAUAGGGAAGCGGUAACGAACCAGAAAGCCACGGCUAACUACGUGCCAGCAGCCGCGGUAAUAC